GAAGACGACCAUGAAACUUAACAUCCUAAAACUCGAUGAGACAUCAAUAAGCCUGUAAAUGUUGGGAUAUGUAAAAUUCGUGCACAUCCUCCACUUCCUUGUGUUCUUAUUCACCAUUAAUAUGUCAUCUAACCACGUCAGAUACUUGAUUUCUUAGAUUAAUCUCGCCUCAAACAACUUUUUUACCUCUUAUGAAACUACCCACCUUUUU
rnacentral:lncRNA from 1 species